CGCAUCCCAACUUAACAAGCGGGUCAACGUUGCGUAUGCGUUACAUUUCACUUUCGUUGCGAACAGAGCCGACCGUAGGCACGAGGACGCGGAGAUGAACGAGGAUUGGGGGCAGGAAGGACGAUUGGCGGCCGCAUGUAAAGCGCUGCCUUUUCAAUUUCAAUUUCAGUUCCCGUGACAACCUCGACGCGUUCAGUUCUGUGCCAAUCGGUGAAAAAAUACAGCCACAACGUGCGCAAGUCGCGUGCGGACUUCUGCUAAGCGCGCCGUGGAACGCAACGUGCGGGCAUUAGGGACUGAAACUCAAACCGUGCCGAACCGAACUGAACCGAACCGAAAAUCAAGUAGAGUACCGUUCAAAUCAUCGCUUCAGCUCAGCUUUCAUAGCCAACACGUGUUGGCCUCGCAUUAGAAAGCUCAUUGCGAAGGGCACUUGACACGAACCGUAAGUCAAACGGUCAAAAGGCCACAGCAAAACGCUUUAAUUGCGUCUGGCUAAAGGGAUUUACUGCUUACCCUCAAAGGGCUCCGUUUUUGUGCGUUCGAGUAAGCGGUUUAAGUGAAUUGUGCGUGUAUCACAAGUCGGGCCAGAGACAUCACCCAAUCGAGCUUUGUGCCAGCAGCGGACUCAGUCGACUGUCUAGCCGACAGACCGAAUAGCAAAUCACACCUAAAGCAGCGGGCAACUGACCUCCAUCUGUGCAGCAAUCAACACUAUUCCCACUCCACCGUGACAACUCUGGCAGCUUCAAUUUGGAAAUCAAUGGAUUGCAAUUAUGAGCAAGCUAAGUGAAGCCCGAGAAAAGUUCAUUAGCAGCAGCUACAAUAACAACAACAACAGCAGCAACAACAGCAGCAGC
rnacentral:sRNA from 1 species